rnacentral:lncRNA from 1 species
CAAGGAGUAAUGCUGCUUUUCACACAGAAAGGGCUUCUGUUGUGCCUGACCUUAAGACAGGAAAAGUAGGGGAGCUAAGGAAGCUACCUACACCGCCCUCACCCCCAGGAGCCACAUUCAGGAAGGAAGAGGCACAGCGAUGUGAAUGGAUGGAGAAGAGGGGGCCGGUAGGCUGAGCCCCUGGCUCCUGGAACGAACACACAGCCAUGGCAGAGGAGAAUGUGGCUUGAAUAGGUUCCAUGACUUGCACAAGACCACAGCUGGUACAUGAUGAAGCAAGGACAAGACACGGGCAUCUGACCUCAAGAGUCUCUCCAAUCAUGAAAUACCUGUAUUAGUUAUCUAUUGCUGCAUAACAAAUUGCCCCAACAUUUCGUAGCUUAGGAGCAGGACUGCUGGAACGGUGGGGUAAAACUUAGUGGCUUAAAACAACA